rnacentral:sRNA from 1 species
UUCACUUUUAAUUCUAUUUAAACUUGACAUGUUUUGGAUAGUUUUAUUUCCCAACAUAGAACAAUUUUAAGCAAAAAUAAAAAUAAUUAUUUUUAUUUUAUCAGGGGUUGAUAUAGAAGCAGCUCGAAAGGAAGAAGAACGGAUCAUGCUUAGAGAUGCCAGGCAGUGGCUAAAUAGUGGUCAUAUAAAUGAUGUCCGGCAUGCAAAAUCUGGAGGUACAGCACUUCACGUUGCAGCUGCUAAAGGCUAUACGGAAGUUUUAAAACUUUUAAUACAGGCAGGCUAUGAUGUUAAUAUUAAAGACUAUGAUGGCUGGACACCUCUUCAUGCUGCAGCUCAUUGGGGUAAAGAAGAAGCAUGUCGAAUUUUAGUGGACAAUCUGUGUGAUAUGGAGAUGGUCAACAAAGUGGUAGGCGUUUUAAAUGUAUUUUAAUACUUUAACUUUUAGAAAUAUAGUUUUAGAAAGUAUAUUUAGAAAUAUAGUCUCAAAAGGUUAUAAGGAUUACAUUAUAUAAUUAUAUUUUUAUUAACUGUAUAAAACAUUUUUUCAGCCAACUGACUUACUAAUUAAUGGUUUAAGUCUUUUCAGCUACCGUAUGAG